GGGCUUGACAUCCCACGAACCUGGGAGAGACCCUGGGGUGCCGAAAGGAACGCGGAGACAGGUGCUGCAUGGCUGUCGUCAGCUCGUGUUGUGAGAUGUCGGGUUAAGUCCCGUAACGAGCGCAACCCUUGCCCCUAGUUGCCAGCAUUAAGUUGGGGACUCUAGGGGGACUGCCGGUGACAAACCGGAGGAAGGUGGGGAUGACGUCAAGUCAGCAUGGCCUUUAUGUCUGGGGCCACACACGUGCUACAAUGGCCGGUACAAACCGUUGCGAUCCCGCGAGGGGGAGCUAAUCGGAGAAAGCCGGUCUCAGUUCGGAUUGUAGGCUGCAACUCGCCUGCAUGAAGUUGGAAUCGCUAGUAAUCGCGGAUCAGCACGCCGCGGUGAAUACGUUCCCGGGCCUUGUACACACCGCCCGUCACAUCACGAAAGCCGGCUGUACUCGAAGUCGCUGAG
rnacentral:rRNA from 1 species